CCCUUAGAUGUCCUGGGCCGCACGCGCGCUACACUGACAUGUUCAACAAGCCUCCUAGUUCGACAGGAUUUGGGAAAUCUUUGAACGCAUGUCGUGAUAGGGAUAGAUCAUUGCAAUUAUUGAUCUUGAACGAGGAAUUCCUAGUAAACGCGAGUCAUCAGCUCGCAUUGAUUACGUCCCUGCCCUUUGUACACGCCGCCCGUCGCACCUACCGAUUGAAUGUUUCGGUGAAGAUUCCGGAUAGGACUUUUUUGAUUUAUUUCAAUUUUGUCUUAAAAGCUAUCUAAACCUCAACAUUUAGAGGAAGGUGAAGUCGUAACA
rnacentral:rRNA from 1 species